rnacentral:rRNA from 1 species
GGGCUAGCGUUGCUCGGAAUCACUGGGCGUAAAGCGCACGUAGGCGGAUCUUUAAGUCAGGGGUGAAAUCCUGGAGCUCAACUCCAGAACUGCCUUUGAUACUGAGGAUCUUGAGUCCGGGAGAGGUGAGUGGAACUCCGAGUGUAGAGGUGAAAUUCGUAGAUAUUCGGAAGAACACCAGUGGCGAAGGCGGCUCACUGGCCCGAUACUGACGCUGAGGCACGAAAGCGUGGGGAGCGAACAGG